CUGGAAGUGGGAUGAGGGGUUUAAUUCCUGCAUCCCUGACCCAGGUCGACCACAGGAGCCACAGCUUAACGUGAAAGGUCAUGCCAGGUGGAAGCACAGCAGGCUUGUUUCUGGAGUUCCUGUUUCUAACUGUUCUUGCUUCUUCGGUCUGAGCCUGGCCAUCAAAAGUGGGCUGAGCUGGGCUGAACCUCAGUCAGCAAGAUGCCACCCAGCAGCCGUCCUGAGGGUCAGGUGUUGGGGCUGGGGGAGCAGAGCCAAGCCAGCCUUCUGACCACCAUACUUGGCGAGGCUGCGGGACGCUGCACCCCAAGGGGUGUGCAAGGAAUGAGGAUAAGGCUUCCACUGCAGAGGAUUUGAGCCCCAGCUGCCCCAGGACCCGAGGUCCUCGAGUACAGAACUCUGUGGUAAAAGCUGGAUAGAAGAAAGCAGCUGCAGCCACAGACCUCAGCCAGAUUUGCGUCCCUACCCAGGGAGGCCAACCCCAGAGCUUACCUGAGCCUCGUCCAGGGGACGCUGUCCCACAACGGUCACUAAAGAAACCUUGGGCCCAGGGCAGUCCAGUCGCCCCCUUACCCACCUCCCAGGCAGGGCUCAGAGGCUAGUGCCCCACUCUUCAUGCCAACAGAAGUGAGUCUCCACAUUCAUCAAGGACAUAAAUA